CCUACGGGUGGCAGCAGUGGGGAAUAUUGGACAAUGGGCGAAAGCCUGAUCCAGCCAUGCCGCGUGUGUGAAGAAGGCCUUCGGGUUGUAAAGCACUUUCAGUGGGGAAGAAAGCCUUGGGGCUAAUACCCUCGAGGAAGGACAUCACCCACAGAAGAAGCACCGGCUAACUCCGUGCCAGCAGCCGCAGUAAUACGGAGGGUGCGAGCGUUAAUCGGAAUUACUGGGCGUAAAGCGCGCGUAGGCGGUCUGAUAAGCCGGUUGUGAAAGCCCCGGGCUCAACCUGGGAACGGCAUCCGGAACUGUCAGGCUAGAGUGCAGGAGAGGAAGGUAGAAUUCCCGGUGUAGCGGUGAAAUGCGUAGAGAUCGGGAGGAAUACCAGUGGCGAAGGCGGCCUUCUGGACUGACACUGACGCUGAGGUGCGAAAGCGUGGGUAGCAAACAGGAUUAGAUACCCUUGUAGUC
rnacentral:rRNA from 1 species